ensembl:lncRNA
AUAAAAUAUGAUGUCACUUCCUUUCAUCCUCUCAGCGUAUGAAAAGUGAAGUACAAGCUGACAGCAGCGUGUAGAGCAGCACACACGUCUGUUAUUGAGGGAAAAGUUGCUGACUGAUCAUAAGGGGCUGUGCAGUGAGCAGACAUGGAAACUGUCAUUGGACUGUUAUUUAUGUUACUCGGAGUCUCUUAUGGUGUGGAAACUCACUGUGAUGGCAGACAGGAUGGAGCUCAGUGUUAUGUACCUUUGGGAGGAACUGUGGACAUUCAGCUGAUGAAUAGCACUUCUGAAAUACCUAGAUACCAGUUGUUAAAGGAUUCAUUAAAAAUACUAGCAGCGAGAAAUAAUACAGUUUUUUCUAAUGCCAUAGAGAGUAGGUCUCUCAUUUUUCCCAGUAAUGGAACAUUUAGGAUCAAUGACCUGAGUAGGAAUGACAUUGGUAAAUAUACCCUGGAAACCUUUGAUUCAGAUGGAAGAAAAUCAGGCGAGCGGACUCUAUAUUUGUUUACUCAAGGUGUGGAAACUUACUGUGAUGGCAGACAGGAUGGAGCUCAGUGUUAUGGAGCUUUGGGGGAAACUGUGGACAUCAAGCUGAUGGACAACACCUCAGAAAUACCUCGAUACCAACUGUUAAAGAAUUCAUUAAAAAUACUAGAUGUGAAAGGGGAUAAGGUUAUUUCUAAUACCAUUGCACAUAGAUAUCUCAUUUUUCCCAGCAAUGGGACAUUUAGGAUCAAUGGCCUGAGUAGGACAGACAUUGGUAAAUAUACCCUUCAAACCUUUGAUUCAGAUGGAAGGACAUCAGAUGCUUGGACUCUACAUUUGUUUAUUCAAGGUGUGGAAACUCACUGUGAUGGCAGACAGGAUGGAGCUCAGUGUUAUGGAGCUUUGGGAGGAACUGUGAACAUCCAGCUACUGAACAGCACCUCUGAAAUAGCUAGAUACUACUUGUUAAAGGAUUCAUUAAAAAUACUAGAUGUGAGAGGGAAUAAGGCUAUUUAUAAUACCAUAGCACACAAAUCUCUAAUCUUACCCAGUAAUGGAACAUUUAGAAUCAGUGAUCUAAGCAGGACAGACAGUGGUAAUUAUAGCCUUAUAACCUUUGAUUCAGAUGGCAGAUCAUCAGGCGAGCAGAGUUUACAGUUGUUUAUUCAAGCUCCUGUGUCCUCUGUCCUGCUGGUCUCUGAGUGUCUGUCCCAGGGAGAGAGGAGGGUGUCCUGCUCCUCUGAGAGAGGGGACAGUCCUCAGUACAGCUGGACUCUGGAUGGACGCACACUGACAGAUGCUGAGCUCCUUCCUGGAAACAAUGAGACUAACAUCAUCACUCUGAAACAGCACGUCUCCGGACGUCUGGUCUGCUCAGUCAAGAACAACGUCAAUAGUGUCUCCAAAGAACAGGAGAUACCUGCCUGUGCUGAGUGAGAACAUUGUAAGCAGUGUCUAAUAAUGAAUCAGCAAUUCAGUCACUGAAGUUUCACAGCAAUCCAGGUCAUCGUAGUCUUGAGAGCUAGAGAUACUUGUACUUCACUCUGCUACACAAGGUGCCCAAGUGCUACAGCCUGUAUUAAGAAUAAGUAAAAGGACUGUUCUGCUCCAAAACUGUUGCUAAUUUUGACCUCACGUGUAAGACCUCUUGUAGACAUUGUGAGAUAUUGCUUGUGCCUUGUGCCGAGUGUCCUACCCCAGCAGAAGGUGGUAUUGUCAUUAUUCAUGCCAGUAUUUAUAACUUUACUAAUUACAGAAUUAUCUGUUUGUGUCUCAGAAAAUCACACGCAAAUUAUCACAUACAUACGUUCACUCCUAUCUGCACAAAAUUCGAAUUAAGGCUGGCAAGCAACAGAGACACAAUGCUAUUCUUUUUUUUCUGUAUGAAUUUAUUAAAGACAGUUAAUUGAACUCCUGGAUUGCUUCAGUCUUUCUGACAGUAGAUUUAGGCCAGAUUAUACACCAGCAUUUCAACAUAUCUUUCACAUGUAGCAUUUCUCACACCUGGGACUUUAUAUGAGUCGAUUAGCCACAGAAAACAUUAGGCAGCACUGCUGCUUCUUUAAAGAUAAAAAUACCUCUUAACUAUAUUUUUUGAGCACAUGCCUGCUAGACCUCACAUCACUGGAAGGAGAUCUUUGGGCAGUACCUACUUUUCAAUGUACUCAAACUUUUUGGUUUCAGUUUGAAUCAGCACACUGUUUUGAUUCCUCCGUCAGAGGAUUGCGGCUGUGGAUAAUACAUGGAUGCUCAACAUCCUCUGCACCACAUGCAGCUACACGCUUUAAGCUUGUUAUUGUGUUAUAUUAGGUUUUAAUCAUUUUUUGUAUUUUCUAUAACAAGUUUAACAGGUUGUUAUGUGAUAACAUAUAGCAACUACCAAAUUACAGUUCCAUAUUUUAAGUUUGCUGAUGCCAAUUCUUUUUCAUAUGGAAAUUUUAAAAAGCAUUUCCACAUGCAACAGGAAUCUGUGUUUUACUGCACUCAGUCUGAUUUGCUGAACUGAGAUGAUGAUAGUAAAUAAUCUUGAAUGUUUCUGUGUCAUUUGUGUCAAACCAUUAUAUUCCAUUUUUGUCCAGUGGAAAUACCCGACCAUCUACCUGGAAACCCACUGAAAAUGUGGCUUUCACUACUUAGACACACUUGCACAAACACUCAUACAUAAACAGAGUUAAAGAAAAAAUUAUUUGCUUGCUGUUUUCAGAUGCAAAUUGCCCUUAUUUACUUUUCUGAACAGAAAUUGAAUGUUAUGCUUGAUCCGUAUCUGACAAAUUUGGAUAUAAAUCUGAGACAUCAGUUUGUUAUUUGCCAAAUAAGGCAAAGAAGGAUUUUUUGUCCCAUGUCCCCACCCAUUAGUCAAGGGAAUAAACAAACAUGGAGACAAGUAGACAAAACACAGGGAGAUCAAACAAACAGGAGACGCUGAAGAUAUAACACAGACGAGACAAAGACAGACUGGACAUGAGAAAGAGAACAGACAUAAAAGCAAACUGAAAACCUGAAACAUAAGUAUGCAAAACUCGAAGUCCCUCAAAAACUAAACAUACGUAUCUCAUAGUUCCAUUAAUGAAUAACGUCAAACAAACCUCAAACCCUGGGUCAAAGAUCCAGGACCAUGACAGGCAUAUCAGGCAUUUUCCAGGUGGGCCGAUGCACUUAUGGGCUGAUGGGUCAAUAAUUUUUUCUCUGCGUUGAUGUAAUUAUACAGGCUACAGCUGUCAUUAAGGGCUGCUUUGCAUUAUUUUCAUGAGCAAAUGCAAU